UCAAUAUAAAAUUAUUUUCUUAUUUCCGUCAAUUGUUUUAUUAAAUUUUUUCGGUAAGACACUUUUUAAACUGAUAAACUCUAUUCACUGUCAAAUAAACAAAAGGGGAAGUUUUCAAAGUAGCAAAGAAGAAGCUCUCCUCACUGUCGAAGAAAUAACCCAUCUCCGGCACCUCUCCCUCUUCGAUGGUGAUAACUCAGAUGGACAGCAAUAAAGAUCAUAAUGCAAUUGUUGGAGUCGUGGCUUCAGCUUAGUUAUUUAUGCUCUUUAGAUUAAAAAUUAGAAUGCAAAUCGCCUGUCACCAUCGUAUGAAUUGAGAAAAUUAUGUUAAUAAUAUUUUAUAUGGAGGUUACCAGCAUUGUAUUGAUGUGAUAAGGAUGAAAUCGAUUGUUUUUUUAAUUUGCGUGACAUUAUUACUAGGAAAAAUUUAUUACAGCCAACUUGAUCAGUGAA